rnacentral:rRNA from 1 species
UACGUAGGUGGCAAGCGUUGUCCGGAUUUACUGGGCGUAAAGAGCGCGCAGGCGGUCGUUCAAGUCGCGUGUGAAAGCCCCCGGCUCAACUGGGGAGGGUCACGCGAUACUGCUCGACUCGAAGGCAGGAGAGGGAAGUGGAAUUCCCGGUGUAGUGGUGAAAUGCGUAGAUAUCGGGAGGAACACCAGUGGCGAAGGCGACUUCCUGGCCUGUUCUUGACGCUGAGGCGCGAAAGCUAGGGGAGCGAACGGG